CCUGGUGGCUCAGAUGGUAGAGCGUCUGCCUGCAAUGCGGGAGACCCGGGUUCAAUCCCUGGGUCAGGA
rnacentral:tRNA from 1 species